rnacentral:rRNA from 1 species
UACGGAGGGUGCAAACGUUGCUCGGAAUCAUUGGGCGUAAAGCGCACGUAGGUGGCCUGUUAAGUCGGGUGUGAAAUCCCUGGGCUCAACCCAGGAAGUGCACUCGAAACUGGCAGGCUUGAGUACUGAAGAGGGUCGCGGAAUUCCCGGUGUAGAGGUGAAAUUCGUAGAUAUCGGGAGGAACACCGGUGGCGAAGGCGGCGACCUGGGUAGAUACUGACGCUGAGGCGCGAAAGCGUGGGGAGCAAACAGG